GAUGAACGCUAGCGGCAGGCUUAAUACAUGCAAGUCGAGGGGCAUCAAGGUACACGAAAGUGUAUUGUUGGCGACCGGCGGACGGGUGAGUAAUAGGUAGGUAACCUACCUCAUACUGAGGCAUAGCUGGGAGAAAUUCCAGGUAAUUCCUCAUGAGGUUAUAUGACACAUGUGAUAUAAUCAAAGGUAUCGCAAGGUACUGGUAUGAGAUGGGCUUACUGACCAUUAGCUAGUUGGUGAGAUAAGAGCUCACCAAGGCGAAGAUGGUUAGGGGUUUUGAGAGAGAGAUCCCCCACAUUGGAACUGAGAUACGGUCCAGACUCCUACGGGAGGCAGCAGUAGGGAAUAUUGGGCAAUGGGCGGAAGCCUGACCCAGCCAUGCCGCGUGAAGGAAGACGGCCUUAUGGGUUGUAAACUUCUUUACUAUGCGACUAACUAGAUUUACGAGAUAAUUCUAUAGAAUGUAGCAUAGCAAAAAGCACCC
rnacentral:rRNA from 1 species